CCCAGACUCCUACGGGAGGCAGCAGUGGGGGAUAUUGCACAAUGGGGGAAACCCUGAUGCAGCGACGCCGCGUGAGUGAAGAAGUAUUUCGGUAUGUAAAGCUCUAUCAGCAGGGAAGAAAAAAGACGGUACCUGACUAAGAAGCCCCGGCUAACUACGUGCCAGCAGCCGCGGUAAUACGUAGGGGGCAAGCGUUAUCCGGAUUUACUGGGUGUAAAGGGAGCGUAGACGGCAAUACAAGUCGGAAGUGAAAUACCCGGGCUCAACCUGGGAACUGCUUUGGAAACUGUAUGGCUGGAGUGCUGGAGAGGUAAGCGGAAUUCCUAGUGUAGCGGUGAAAUGCGUAGAUAUUAGGAGGAACACCAGUGGCGAAGGCGGCUUACUGGACUGUAACUGACGUUGAGGCUCGAAAGCGUGGGGAGCAAACAGGAUUAGAUACCCGGGUA
rnacentral:rRNA from 1 species